rnacentral:rRNA from 1 species
UACGUAGGGUGCGAGCGUUAAUCGGAAUUACUGGGCGUAAAGCGUGCGCAGGCGGUUUUGUAAGCCAGAUGUGAAAUCCCCGGGCUUAACCUGGGAAUGGCAUUUGGGACUGCAAGGCUGGAGUGCGGCAGAGGAGACUGGAAUUCCUGGUGUAGCAGUGAAAUGCGUAGAUAUCCGGAGGAACACCGGUGGCGAAGGCGGCUUCCUGGACCGACACUGACGCUGAGGCGCGAAAGCUAGGGGAGCAAACGGG